CCGCCGGGGGGCUUCUGCCCCCGGGUCCGCGCGCACCGGAGACACUAUUGAACUCUGUCUGAAGAUUGCAGUCUGAGCAUAAACUAAAUAAGUUAAAACUUUCAACAACGGAUCUCUUGGUUCCGGCAUCGAUGAAGAACGCAGCGAAAUGCGAUAACUAAUGUGAAUUGCAGAAUUCAGUGAAUCAUCGAGUCUUUGAACGCACAUUGCGCCCCCUGGUAUUCCGGGGGGCAUGCCUGUCCGAGCGUCAUUGCUGCCCUCAAGCACGGCUUGUGUGUUGGGCUCCGUCCCCCCGGGGACGGGUCCGAAAGGCAGCGGCGGCACCGAGUCCGGUCCUCGAGCGUAUGGGGCUUUGUCACCCGCUCUGUAGGCCCGGCCGGCGCCAGCCGACAACCAAUCAUCCUUUUUUCAGGUUGACCUCGGAUCAGGUAGGGAUACCCGCUGAACUUAAGCAUAUCAAUAAGCGG
rnacentral:rRNA from 1 species